GUCUCUUGUUUUGUUGAAAUAAAGAAAUAGGAGAAAAAAAAAAAAAAUAAAAAAAAAAUCUGUUCUUAUCAGUUUAAUAUCUGAUACGUCCCCCAUCCGGGGACUACAUAUUAAAUGGAUUUUUAGAUCACGGAGCUGGAGCCAGGGCUUGCUCCGUCCACUCCAUGCAUCGGCCUGGAAUUGCAGUGUCUCCAGGAACGGUGUGCUUUCC
rnacentral:snRNA from 1 species